AAACAACGGAGAGUUUGAUCCUGGCUCAGGAUGAACGCUAGCGGCAGGCUUAACACAUGCAAGUCGAGGGGCAGCGGGGAGGAAGCUUGCUUUCUCCGCCGGCGACCGGCGCACGGGUGAGUAACACGUAUGCAACCUGCCCCUGUCAGGGGGACAACCCGCCGAAAGGCGGGCUAAACCCGCGUACAUGCCACCGGGGCAUCCCGGAGGCAGGAAAGGCUUCGGCCGGACAGGGAUGGGCAUGCGGCGCAUUAGGCAGUAGGCGGGGUAACGGCCCACCUAACCGACGAUGCGUAGGGGUUCUGAGAGGAAGGUCCCCCACACUGGUACUGAGACACGGACCAGACUCCUACGGGAGGCAGCAGUGAGGAAUAUUGGUCAAUGGUCGGGAGACUGAACCAGCCAAGCCGCGUGAGGGAGGAAGGUACAGAGUAUCGUAAACCUCUUUUGUCAGGGAACAAAGGCGGGGACGUGUCCCCGGAUGAGUGUACCUGAAGAAAAAGCAUCGGCUAACUCCGUGCCAGCAGCCGCGGUAAUACGGAGGAUGCGAGCGUUAUCCGGAUUUAUUGGGUUUAAAGGGUGCGCAGGCGGUCUGUUAAGUCAGCGGUCAAAGCCCGGGGCUCAACCCCGGCCCGCCGUUGAAACUGGCAGUCUCGAGUUGGAGAGAAGUAUGCGGAAUGCGCGGUGUAGCGGUGAAAUGCAUAGAUAUCGCGCAGAACUCCGAUUGCGAAGGCAGCAUGCCGGCUCCACACUGACGCUGAGGCACGAAAGCGUGGGUAUCGAACAGGAUUAGAUACCCUGGUAGUCCACGCAGUAAACGAUGAAUGCUGGCUGUCCGGGGGGAUUGACCCCUGGGUGGCGAAGCGAAAGCGAUAAGCAUUCCACCUGGGGAGUACGCCGGCAACGGUGAAACUCAAAGGAAUUGACGGGGGCCCGCACAAGCGGAGGAACAUGUGGUUUAAUUCGAUGAUACGCGAGGAACCUUACCCGGGCUCAAACGGGGAGUGACUCAGGCAGAGACGCCUGUUUCCCACGGGACACUCCCCGAGGUGCUGCAUGGUUGUCGUCAGCUCGUGCCGUGAGGUGUCGGCUUAAGUGCCAUAACGAGCGCAACCCCCGCGUGCAGUUGCUAACAGAUAACGCUGAGGACUCUGCACGGACUGCCGGCGCAAGCCGCGAGGAAGGCGGGGAUGACGUCAAAUCAGCACGGCCCUUACGUCCGGGGCGACACACGUGUUACAAUGGGUGGUACAGCGGGAAGCCAGGCGGCGACGCCGAGCGGAACCCGAAAUCCACUCUCAGUUCGGAUCGGAGUCUGCAACCCGACUCCGUGAAGCUGGAUUCGCUAGUAAUCGCGCAUCAGCCAUGGCGCGGUGAAUACGUUCCCGGGCCUUGUACACACCGCCCGUCAAGCCAUGGGAGCCGAGGGCGCUUGAAGUGCGUCGCCGCGAGGCGCGCCCUAGAGCGAAAUCGGUGACUGGGGCUAAGUCGUAACAAGGUAGCCGUACCGGAAGGUGCGGCUGGAACACCUCCUUUCUGGA
rnacentral:rRNA from 1 species